AUUGAACGCUGGCGGCAUGCUUUACACAUGCAAGUCGAACGGUAACAGGCCUUCGGGUGCUGACGAGUGGCGAACGGGUGAGUAAUGCAUCGGAACGUGCCCAGAGGUGGGGGAUAACGCAGCGAAAGCUGUGCUAAUACCGCAUGUGAUCUGAGGAUGAAAGCGGGGGACCAGGCAGCAAUGUUUGGCCUCGCGCCUUUGGAGCGGCCGAUGUCAGAUUAGGUAGUUGGUGGGGUAAAGGCCUACCAAGCCGACGAUCUGUAGCUGGUCCGAGAGGACGACCAGCCACACUGGGACUGAGACACGGCCCAGACUCCUACGGGAGGCAGCAGUGGGGAAUUUUGGACACUGGGCGCAAGCCUGAUCCAGCAAUGCCGCGUGCGGGAAGAAGGCCUUCGGGUUGUAAACCGCUUUUGUACGGAACGAAAAGGCUCUGGCUAAUACCUGGGGCUGAUGACGGUACCGUAAGAAUAAGCACCGGCUAACUACGUG
rnacentral:rRNA from 1 species